UACAGAGGGUGCAAGCGUUAAUCGGAUUUACUGGGCGUAAAGGGCGCGUAGGUGGUUAUGUAAGUGAGAUGUGAAAGCCCCGGGCUCAACCUGGGAACUGCAUCUUAUACUGCAUAGCUGGAGUACAGUAGAGGGUAGUGGAAUUUCCGGUGUAGCGGUGAAAUGCGUAGAUAUCGGAAGGAACACCAGUGGCGAAGGCGGCUACCUGGACUGAAACUGACACUGAGGCGCGAGAGCGUGGGGAGCAAACAGG
rnacentral:rRNA from 1 species